AGGCUAGUAGCUCAAUUGGUAGAGCACCGGUCUCCAAAACCGGGGGUUGGGGGUUCGAUUCCCUCCUGGCCUGCCA
rnacentral:tRNA from 1 species